rnacentral:ncRNA from 1 species
AUUUAAUAAAGAUGAGAGUAUGAUGUCGGCUCAGAUUAAACGUUAUUUAAGGACUUGAUACAUGCGAAUUGAACGUAAAUGCUAAAAAUUAUAAUAAAUAUAAUAAAUUUAGGAUUUAAGUAGUGUAAAGGUGAGUAAAAGAUUGAAAUAAGAACUAUUAAUAAAUAUAAAAAUAUAUAAAAAUAACGAUAUAUUCAAUUAAGAAUAUAAAGGAAAAGGAUAUAAUUAAAAAGAUAUCUGUUAAUAGUCAAGUCAAUAUUAGAAUAGGUAGUAGGUAAGAUAAGAGCUAAACCUAGCCAAGGAUCUAUAAUUAAUAAUGAGAGUUAUAAUAAUCACAUUGGUAGUGAAAUCUAUCAAUAUAAAAAAUGUAAUAUAUAUUAUUAAUUUAAUAUAUAUUAUAUAUUAUACAGCAGUAGGGAAUAUUAGACAAUGAUCGAAAGAUUGAUCUAGUUACUUAAAAUGAUGAAAAUUAUAAUAAUAUAAUAAAAAAAAUAAUAAUGAAGAAUAUAAAAUCAAUAUAUAUAUAUAAAAUAAUGAUAUAAAAAAUAUAUAGAAGUCUUAACAAAAAUUAGUGCCAGCAGUUGCGGCUAAACUGAGGAGGCGAACGUUAAUCAUUAAUGGCUUAAAGGAUCCGUAGAACGAAAAAAAAGAAUAUAGAGUUAAAAGAAAUAAAUAAUGUAUAAUUAUAAUGAGAGAUGAAAUGCAAUGAAAAUAAUUAGACAGCUAAAACUGAAGAGAAUAUUUAUAAUUUAACUGACGUUGAGGGAUGAAAGCAUAAGUAAUAAACCGGAUUAGAUACCCGAGUAAUUUAUGCUGUAAACGAUGAAUACUAAUAUAAAAAAAAUAUAAAAAAAGCGAAAGUAAAGUAUUCCGCCAGGUGAGUAUAUUCGCAAGAAUGAAAUCCAAGACAAUAGACGGUUACAGGUGUAGGCAGUGGAUUGUGUUUUUUAAUUCGAUAAUCCCCGAUAAAUCUUACCAUUAUUUGAAUAUAAUUUAAUUAAUAAAAAUUUUUUAAUUAUUUAAUACAAAUGUUACAUCGUUGUUUUAAGUUUGUGCUUUAAGGUUAUGAUUAACUUCAUAAACAGACAAAAUUCCAUAUAUUAAAAAUAAAAUCUAAUUAAUAUAUUAAUUCUUUGAUUUAAGAUAAAGAAUUAUAUAAUGGAACUACAACAAAUCAUGAUGACUUUAAUAUAAUGGGCUAAAGACGCAAUACAAAAUAUUAUUAAUAAAAUUAAAUUAAAUACAAAUAUUUAAAUAAUUAAUUUAAAUUAAUAUAUUAAAUAUAUUUUAAUAAAUAUAUUUUAUGUGAAUUAAUUUCUGAAAUUCGUUAUUAUGAAAAAGGAAUUGCUAGUAAUCAUAAUUCAUUAAAUUAUGGUGAAAUUUAUCCCUGUUUCGUACUAAUUACUCAUCAUUCGCCAGAAAGUGUUAUAAUUUUAAAUGUAUUAUUUUUAUCUAUUAUUUACCUUUAUAAUAAUUUAUAUUUAUAUACUCUUUAAUUAUUCGCUGACUGGUGAGAAGUUGAAAUACAGUUAUCGUUGAGGAAUCAGCGGUGGGUUGUCAAAUUUUCUUUGUUUGUCAUUUU